rnacentral:rRNA from 1 species
GACAGAGGGUGCAAACGUUGUUCGGAAUUACUGGGCGUAAAGGGCGCGUAGGCUGUGCUGUAAGUCAGGCGUGAAAGCCCCGGGCUCAACCUGGGAAUUGCGCUUGAUACUGCGGCGCUGGAAGGUGGGAGAGGAUGGCGGAAUUCCCAGUGUAGAGGUGAAAUUCGUAGAUAUUGGGAAGAACACCGGUGGCGAAGGCGGCCAUCUGGCCCACAAUUGACGCUGAGGCGCGAAAGCGUGGGGAGCAAACAGG